UACGUAGGUGGCGAGCGUUGUCCGGAAUUACUGGGCGUAAAGGGAGCGUAGGCGGUUUUUUAAGUGGGAUGUGAAAUCCCCGGGCUCAACCUGGGAAUUGCAUUCCAAACUGGGAAACUAGAGUGCAGGAGAGGAAAGUGGAAUUCCAAGUGUAGCGGUGAAAUGCGUAGAGAUUUGGAGGAACACCAGUGGCGAAGGCGACUUUCUGGACUGUAACUGACGCUGAGGCUCGAGAGCGUGGGGAGCAAACAGGG
rnacentral:rRNA from 1 species